AUGGCACCUCUGUGCCUCGCGCCCCUGCCUCGACAGAAACUCCGGCGAGCCCUCAAGCUACUUCCCGUCGCAUGCUGGCUUCUUCACUGCUGCCCCUGCUUUGGUCCUCCUGCUGCUGUGCACCGGCGCGCGGGUGCUUUCCUCUGUCUAGCGCCUCCGCCUCCACGAACCCCUCCGUCCUCAUGGCCGAGCGCCUCGCCGCUGGCCAGCGCCGCGGACAUUCGUGACCGCGCGCGCCCGGAGCAGGUGCAAGCUUGCCAGCUACCGUCUGCAUGCAACAUCGGGUCGGCGCCGCUGCAUGCUGUUGCCGUUACCGGGGCGCGAGGAGGAGUGGUGUUGCUCCUGUGCCUGGCUGCGGUGGCGUCGGCGCAGAUGUCCCCGAUGUUCUACGACGCGUCGUGCCCCGGGGCGCUGGCCACCAUCAAGAACGGUGUGGUGGCCGCCGUGGGCAGCGACCCCCGCAUGGCUGCGUCGCUGCUCCGGCUGCACUUCCAUGACUGCUUUGGCUGCGACGCGUCCGUUCUGCUGGCUGGCAACGAGCGGAACGCGUUCGGGAACGUGGGAUCGCUGCGAGGCUUCGACGUCAUCGACCAAAUCAAGUCGAAUGUGGAGCAGGCGUGCAAGCGCACCGUCUCCUGCGCCGACAUCGUCGCCGUCGCCGCUCGCGAUUCCGUCGUCGCGGUAGGAGGGCCGUCAUGGACAGUCUCUCUGGGGAGGAGGGACUCCGACACGGCUAGCGAGACACUGGCCAACCGUGACCUGCCUGCCCCAUCACUUAGCGUCACCGACCUCAUCACCCGCUUCGCCGCCAAGGGGCUCAACCACACCGAUAUGGUCGCCCUCUCUGGUGCGCACACCAUAGGGCGGGCGCAGUGCAAGAACUUCAGGACCAGGCUCUACAGCGAGGAGAACAUUGACCCGGCCUUGGCGACGUCGCGCAAGGCCACCUGCCCUCAGCUAACCGGCUCUGGCGACAGCAACUUGGCCCCAUUGGACGAUACGACCCCGGACAUGUUCGACAACGCCUACUUCGUCAACCUCAAGCUCAAUAAGGGGCUCCUACACUCCGACCAGGUGCUCUACACCCUUGCCGGUGGUGCCACCGAAGACAUCAUUGACGGCUUCGCAUCUAACCAGGAUGCGUUCAACAACGCCUUUGCCGCAGCCAUGGUGAAGAUGGGGAACAUCAGCCCCUUGAUUUUCCCACAGGGUCAGGUCAGGCGCAUCUGCUCCAGGGCGAACUAA
rnacentral:rRNA from 1 species